rnacentral:rRNA from 1 species
AUUGAACGCUGGCGGCAUGCUUUACACAUGCAAGUCGAGCGGUAACAGGCCUUCGGGUGCUGACGAGUGGCGCACGGGUGAGUAAUGCAUCGGAACGUACCCAGAGGUGGGGGAUAACGCAGCGAAAGCUGUGCUAAUACCGCCUGUUAUCUGAGGAUGAAUGCGGGGGACCGAGCAGCAAUGUUUGGCCUCGCGCCUUUGGAGCGGCCGAUGUCGGAUUAGCUAGUUGGUGGGGUAAAGGCCUACCAAGGCGACGAUCCGUAGCUGGUCUGAGAGGACGACCAGCCACACUGGGACUGAGACACGGCCCAGACUCCUACGGGAGGCAGCAGUGGGGAAUUUUGGACAAUGGGCGCAAGCCUGAUCCAGCAAUGCCGCGUGCGUGAAGAAGGCCUUCGGGUUGUAAAGCGCUUUUGGCAGGAACGAAACGGUGUCCGCUAAUACCGGGCGCUAAUGACGGUACCUGCAGAAUAAGCACCGGCUAACUACGUG